GAGUUUGAUCUUGGCUCAGGAUGAACGCUGGCGGCGUGCCUAAUACAUGCAAGUCGAGCGAACGGACGAGAAGCUUGCUUCUCUGAUGUUAGCGGCGGACGGGUGAGUAACACGUGGAUAACCUACCUAUAAGACUGGGAUAACUUCGGGAAACCGGAGCUAAUACCGGAUAAUAUUUUGAACCGCAUGGUUCAAAAGUGAAAGACGGUCUUGCUGUCACUUAUAGAUGGAUCCGCGCUGCAUUAGCUAGUUGGUAAGGUAACGGCUUACCAAGGCAACGAUGCAUAGCCGA
rnacentral:rRNA from 1 species